ACCUUACAAUUUGAACUGGGUGGAGUACUGCGUGGAGCUGAUGGAAAAGAUGCGGUAUGAAAGAUGGAAUAAUAGUAUCUGCAGAAUGAAAAAAGCCUUCAUCUGCAAGUACGAGCUCUAAACAGGAGUACAACAGCUCCUGGGACGUUGAGCGCAUUGCAUCCGGCAGCUCUUCAAGGAGACCCAUCCUGCAAACCGGCCUGCUGUGCCCCCUCCCCACACUGCUGUGCCCAACCAUGCCAGUCCCGCUCUCCUCUGCCUCCUCUCGCUCUGCUGCGCUCCUGCGUCUCCU